rnacentral:rRNA from 1 species
UGGGGAAUAUUGCACAAUGGGCGCAAGCCUGAUGCAGCCAUGCCGCGUGUAUGAAGAAGGCCUUCGGGUUGUAAAGUACUUUCAGCGGGGAGGAAGGGAGUAAAGUUAAUACCUUUGCUCAUUGACGUUACCCGCAGAAGAAGCACCGGCUAACUCCGUGCCAGCAGCCGCGGUAAUACGGAGGGUGCAAGCGUUAAUCGGAAUUACUGGGCGUAAAGCGCACGCAGGCGGUUUGUUAAGUCAGAUGUGAAAUCCCCGGGCUCAAACUGGGAACUGCAUCUGAUACUGGCAAGCUUGAGUCUCGUAGAGGGGGGUAGAAUUCCAGGUGUAGCGGUGAAAUGCGUAGAGAUCUGGAGGAAUACCGGUGGCGAAGGCGGCCCCCUGGGCGAAGACUGACGCUCAGGUGCGAAAGCGUGGGGAGCAAACAGG